rnacentral:rRNA from 1 species
UUGAACGCUGGCGGCAUGCCUAACACAUGCAAGUCGAACGGUAACGCGGAGAGCUUGCUCUCUGGCGACGAGUGGCGGACGGGUGAGUAAUACUUAGGAAUCUGCCCAGUAGUGGGGGACAACAUUCGGAAACGGAUGCUAAUACCGCAUACGCACUACGGUGGAAAGUGGGGGAUCUUCGGACCUCACGCUAUUGGAUGAGCCUAAGUCGGAUUAGCUUGUUGGUGAGGUAAUGGCUCACCAAGGCGACGAUCCGUAGCUGGUCUGAGAGGACGAUCAGCCACACUGGGACUGAGACACGGCCCAGACUCCUACGGGAGGCAGCAGUGGGGAAUAUUGGACAAUGGGCGCAAGCCUGAUCCAGCAAUGCCGCGUGUGUGAAGAAGGCCUGCGGGUUGUAAAGCACUUUCAGUAGAGAAGAAAAGCCUAGGGUUAAUACCCCUGAGUCUUGACGUAACCUACAGAAGAAGCACCGGCUAACUCCGUG